rnacentral:lncRNA from 1 species
CAGGGCACUCACAGCUGGCCAUGGGAAUGGCAAUAUUUCUACCAAUGGCCUAAGAUGUUCCAACCCUCUAGGCAUGAGUGGUCCCAUCUUCUUUAACUUUGAAUGUGAUUUGGUGCCAACUGGUAAGCGAUGUUUUGCUCACAUCUUAAGAGACUGUGCUUCGAUUGCCUCUAAGUUCCCUUCUAGCUCUGACUUUAAAGAAAUCAGUCCCAUUCCACCAAAGAAGCCCUAUUAUGGUCACAGAGGCACCAAGAUCUUAAUAACCCCCUAAGUGACUCAUGGAAUUCCCAGCGGCCCACUGUAAAUUGACAUUUCACUGAUGCAGAGCCCAUGGCAUCUUAAAAUGUCAAAAUGGGAAGACCGUCCAUCAUCAUUUGCUGUGAGCGCUUUGAGGAGUCUGGGACCUGAAGCUUAUUGCUAUCUAUUCAUUGAUUCCUUCAAGAGAGAUUUAUUAUGCUCAUGCUAUGUGCCAAGCUCUGAGUCCUGGGAUACAGUAAUGAAUAUGAAAGAUGAGUUAUCUGACCUCACAAGUACUGUGGGGAAUGAUACAGGAUAACAAAGAAACAAAUAAGUAAGAUAAUUACUGUUUGUAAUGGUUGUUUGAAAGGUAUAAAUAAUGUAAAGUAAUGGAUAUUGAAUAAGUUGUGGGAGAAGGGGAAGUGGAAUUUAAGAUGAAAUCUAAAUCUCAAGAAGAAAUCAGCUGUUGAAACCAGGGUGUUAAAAAAAAAACAUUGCAGGCUGCAAGAAUGGGAUAUGUAAAGGCCCUGAGGCAGAAAAGUAGUAUAUGUAAAGUCAAGGCAGC